CCUACGGGUGGCUUCAGUGAGGAAUAUUGGUCAAUGGACGUAAGUCUGAACCAGCCAUGUCGCGUGCAGGAAGAAGGCUCUAUGAUUUGUAAACUUCUUUUGUAGGAGGGUAAACGUAUCUACGUGUAUAUAUUUGCAUGUAUCCUACGAAUAAGCAUCGGCUAACUCCGUGCCAGCAGCCGCGGUAAUACGGAGGAGUCAAGCGUUAUCCGGAUUUACUGGGUUUAAAGGGUGCGUAGACGGUAGGGCAAGUUAGAGGUGAAAUCCCAUGGCUUAACCUCGGAAUUGCCUUGGAUACUGUUCGGCUAGAGAGUAGGUGCGGUAGGCGGAAUGUAUGGUGUAGCGGUGAAAUGCGUAGAGAUCAUACAGAACACCGAUUGCGAAGGCAGCUUACCAAGCUACUUCUGACGUUGAGGCACGAAAGCGUGGGGAGCAAACAGGAUUAGAUACCCUGGUAGUC
rnacentral:rRNA from 1 species